rnacentral:tRNA from 1 species
GGGAAAAUGGUUCAGUGGGUAAGAGCACUUGCUGUGAAAGCAAGAGGACCUGAGUUCAACUCCCCAGCACUCCUG